rnacentral:lncRNA from 1 species
GGGAGGCCAGCAGGCCCACAAACCCAAGGGGAGUUCGCGGAUCAACAAUCAGCCCCUUCCUGGCGGCUCCACCCAGACCCCAGCGAGGCUGGAAGUGGGGGAUGGGAGCAGGCCCCAAAGUGUCCACACAAAGGAAGCAGCAGGGUCUGGGAUGAGAUGAAGACCCGCCCUCACCCCACCCCACCCUCGCGGCCUGGGAACUGGCAGGGCACCCUGGAUGGUGACCCAGAAACCUGGCUGUCGGCAGCUCCCGCCUGGCACUGCCCACAUCGAGCUCCCUGGCUUCCCACGGGAGUCCAUGGCAGCUGUCUGCAGGCCACACGCAGUAACGUGGAUGAAUCUCAGAUGGAACGUUGAGCAAAGGAAACUGACCCAGGAGAGUACGUAAGAGCUUCGGCUGACUCAGGAGCAAGAGGUAAACUGAUCAGCAAAUACGCUGGCUGCAGAGACCCGGUGAGACGUGAAUCCCCAGGGAAUGCUAAGGGAGCCCCCCCCCCACAACAUGUGCAUUUCCGAGCCGCCACUGGAAGAUCCAGGGGAAGAUCGUCAGGCUCCUCUCCUCCACUUAGCCCAAGGCAGGGGACGAACUAACACACGUCAGGAAGCGCCUCAACAGCCCGGGUGAGAACGAGCUUAACCUUCAGCCGUCAUGAAAAAUAAAGUUGACCAGAACUCCCCGUUUUCUGGACAUUCCUGUUGGGUUCAUUGAAGUUCACUGGGUUGUCCUGGUGGAAACUGUGUAACCUGAUUCUGACGCUAAGAAAAUGCUUCCCGUGGGGAAGACUGGUUCUGAUAUGACCAAUUCCCCUGGGACCCCUCAGGCCUUGUCCAACCUGGUUGAUGUCCCAGGCCUAAUAUGGCCCCCUCUCCCUGCCUGCUCCCCAUGACCCCUCAACCAGCCAUCCCAGACCCAAAUCCCAUCCAGGCUUGCUCAAGCCCGUCUCCCCCAGGACACCUCCCUGCCUACCCGGGGCUCCCAUCCUUUCCUCCUAUAGCACCUAUUAAGUCUGUCUAAGCGCCUGGCCCCCUAGUCUGUUUCAAGAGGACAGGCAACUUUGCUUUGUUCAGAUUGUACCGGAAAAACGUGGACCAGUUCUUGGUACAUAGUAGGCCCUCAAUAAACACUGG